rnacentral:rRNA from 1 species
ACGGGAGGCAGCAGUGGGGAAUAUUGCACAAUGGGGGGAACCCUGAUGCAGCAACGUCACGUGUGGGAAGAAGCAUUUCGGUGUGUAAACCACUGUCGUGAGGGAAUAAUGCUUGGCUCCGGCCAAGUUGAAUGUACCUCGAAAGGAAGCACCGGCAAACUUCGUGCCAGCAGCCGCGGUAAUACGAGGGGUGCAAGCGUUGUUCGGAAUCACUGGGCGUAAAGGGAGCGUAGGCGGAGACGCAAGCAGUCUGUGCAAUGCCGGGGCCCAACCCCGGACCUGCAGACUGGACUGUGUCUCUUGGAUAGUUCAGGGGCAGGCGGAAUUCCUGGUGUAGCGGUGGAAUGCGUAUAGAUCCGGAAGAACACCGAUGGCGAAGGCAGCCUGCUGGGGACUCAUCGACGCUGAGGCUCGAAAGUGCGGGUAGCAAACAGGAUUAGAUACCCUGGUA